CUUUGAGUAUGUAGCACUGGAAGAAGUCUUGCAUUAUUACGUUCAGGGAUACCAUGGAGUUGUUAAAGAAGGAAGACCGGUCUACAUUGAGAGACUUGGUAAAGCUGAACCAAACAAGCUUAUGCAAAUUACAAGAGUAAAUAGCUACUUAAGGUAUCAUGUACAGGAGUAUGAGAAGGUCUUCCUCUAUGAAAGUUCAUUACUAUGAGGACAUAUCCAAUAAGAUGAAGAUUAAUUUGAGUUACUUGUAUGCCACAUAUAUCAACCAUCACAUCUUGCCAAAGUUGUUAUGCCUGAAAGCUACAUCUGCAGAAAUACUUUACAGUUAAAUAUAUCCCUUGAAUUUGUGGAUUAUGUGAUUAUGACAAUAUAUCUCAUGAUUUACAAGAUAAGCCUAUAUUUUCCUCAUAAAAUGAGCUUAUGGUCUAAUUUGACAAAUUGUCUUUUACUAUUUUUUCUGUGUAAUUUUGUGUUCAUGCUACUUCUAUCAGCUACAUGAAUAUAGAACGGAUCCUUAUCCAUUUGUCUUAACAAUAGUGAGAUUGAGGAAAGUGAACUCUCUGAUGCAAGCUCAACAAAUUUGAAAGAAGAUGGAUCUUCACCGUCCCUAACUCUAAUCAGAAAGUAGGGAUGGUAUUCAGAUAAACUUUCAUAUCUAAAAGGAAAAGUGCCUUCCUCGAUAGGAAUUCCAACAUCAGUUGCCCUGCCCUUUGGAGUUUUUAAGAAGGUUUUGUUAGAUGAUUCAAACCAUUUUUGUCUCAUCUCAUCUCAUGUCACUUAAGUGU